AUUGAACGCUGGCGGAAUGCUUUACACAUGCAAGUCGAACGAUGAAGUCUAGCUUGCUAGACGGAUUAGUGGCGAACGGGUGAGUAAUAUAUCGGAACGUAUCCAUUAAUGGGGGAUAACUAGUCGAAAGAUUGGCUAAUACCGCAUACGUCCUACGGGAGAAAGCUGGGGAUCGUAAGACCUGGCGUUAAUGGAGCGGCCGAUAUCUGAUUAGCUAGUUGGUGAGGUAAAGGCUCACCAAGGCGACGAUCAGUAGCUGGUCUGAGAGGACGACCAGGCACACUGGAACUGAGACACGGUCCAGACUGCUACGGGAGGCAGCAGUGGGGAAUUUUGGACAAUGGGCGAAAGCCUGAUCCAGCCAUUCCGCGUGAGUGAAGAAGGCCUUCGGGUUGUAAAGCUCUUUCGCAAGGGAAGAAAACUUAUCCUCUAACAUAGGGUGAGGUUGACGGUACCUUGAUAAGAAGCACCGGCUAACUACGUGCCAGCCGCCGCGGUAA
rnacentral:rRNA from 1 species